AAUAGAUGACGAUGUUGACUUUUUCUCACAUGUUUGACCAUUCGUCUUAUUCAAAAAAUUUACGUAAUUAUAAUUUAUUUGUUAUGAGUUGUUUUAUCACUCAUAGUACUUUAAGUAUGAUUUAUAUCUUAUACAAUUGCAUAAAUUUUUUGAAUAAGACGAAUGGUCAAACAUGUGAGAAAAAGUCAACGGCGUCAUCUAUU
rnacentral:pre_miRNA from 1 species